UCUACAUUAUCGCAACUGCCAGAGCUCUUAGUGCUGCAGUUUUCUAGUCGCAGUGCGGCAAAGCAGACGCAUAGACCCAGGCACAAAGCAGCAUAGAUUUUUUAUUCUCAUCUUUUUUUUUUUUUGUCCGAGAGACGUUUUCCUGGUGUUAGCGCAGAAGCAGACAUGCAGCCUGGAUAUGCUGGCUCCAGCCUGGCAGCUCUUUCGGCUGAGCAGGGACUGUGUGGAGCUCGGUGCCCACGCUGCCGCUGAGGAAGAAAGCUGCUCUCCCACUCUGUGCCGUGACGAUACACCUGCAGCCACAAGACCGUGGAGAUGGCGGCACUUGUCUCUGUUUGCCUGACUGGGGCCUUUGCAGGUGCUCCUCUUCCGAAGCUGUGCUGGCGUUCCAGGGCCGUGCAGAUGGGUAAUACAAUUUGCUGCAGUUUCUUACAUCAGUGUAGCAAAGCUCAAGCGAACAACCAGACUCUGACCUAAAUCAGUCCCAGUUCUUCGGGAUACAGGGCAGCAGGCGACUGGCAGUGAUACAAUCAGCCAUCAAGUGGAGAGGCUCUGGGACUGCAAUCUGUAUGGGUUGGAGUCUGUGAGAAUGAAACAGUUCCCGUUAUCCGGUCGCUUCUCCUUCUAAUAAUACAAUUGCUACAACUGCUACUACUACCGCAUCUGUUUCUCCAUGCCUGAAAGAAGCUGCUCCUUGCGCCCUCUCUGUGUGGGUAUUUGCGCAGAUUAGUCUGUUGGUAAUGCAGCCCUUAUCUGCUUCUGCUGGAAACCAGGGCACGAAGUCAGCCUGCCUUAACAGUUGUUUCUUUCUGCGUGAUGCUAUGCAGCUAGAAUGGGUUACGCUGACAACAAAGGAGCCAGCACAAAGCAUCACUUUAUUUGCUGGACUGCUACAGGAACCCGACUCUUCUUCGCUACGAAGCCCUGUUCUCUUCCCUUUUUGUUUUUUGUUUUUUGUUUUUUUUAUGUAAUUCAUCUAAUUGAAGAGCCUAACAGACACCAUCGUGGAUGUGGGUUUUAAUGAUUUGGAAAAGACAGCCUGUGGAGACUGCGAUUGGAGACUGCAACACGCUUAGGUUAUUGCCAAUUUGAAAUACUUGGUUUGUGAAGCACAGCCCUAAGGGACAAGCGCAGUAACUGAGAGAGAGAUCGUAGAUAAAGAAAUAAAAAUGACAAGCAUAAUGGAGGCUCUGCAAGAAACUGUCAGGGAAUCAGUUCAUGGAUGGCAAUUUCACCAGUCUGAAUCUGAAUAAUUCAUAGAUUGAAAUUACCCUGCUUUCACCUUUCCAUUUAAACUGGCAUGAUCUGAAUCUCUAAUAAAUUUUCAAGAUAAAGUAAAAUGCCAAUUUGAAUCUGAAGAGCUUUUAAAACCAAAUGCUACACCCUGAGUCUUUCGAUACCUUUCACAAUUAUCCUGUGAGAGCCGCACUUCAUCACGAAGCACCAUUACCAGUGAAAAUUACGGUGAUUACAAUAGCAACAAUAGAAUACCGUCAAAUGAUCUCCAAUUUACCUAAUUUACCAAGGUUGACUGUGUGCCCAUUGUGCUUCACUACGUCUGGCAUUGGAUCAAUAUCACAGAGGAAGAAAAAUGCCUUAGUAUAUGCUUCCUUUUGGUGCCUUUAACUUUGACAGCACAGGAAAAUCUAUCUCCUGUUAAAUGUUUUUACAGCCCAUCUGCAUGCCUGCCAUAGGAUCUGAUUGAUUCUCCAUCAUUUUCUUUGGUUGCUGAGUAUUGGAUGUUAUUGUGUUACUAAUUUGUUUAUAACGUGUACUCCUGCACAAAGACUGCAGCAAACGAGUAACAGCACAGCAACUGCGCUGCUGCAGCAGUAGCACUGCACUCUCUCGCAGGGGAAGCCAAAAUGAGUUUGGUGCCUUAUGUGAAUAAUCACUUGCAUCUGGGUUAUAAAUGCUUCCAAACAUCACUCAUCUUGGUUGCACGACAUGAGAAAUGUGUGCAAAAGUCGUGGUCAAGGGAAAUGGUUAUCUGUAAUCCUAACAAGAUUUCCCCCCUAUCCAGCAAUCAGUAUGAGGCUGUGAGAGAUAAGCUGUGACUCUUUCUUUAAAUGUGUGUGUGUACAUACGCAUGCACGUACAUAGGAGACAAUCCCUGUGGAGCUGAUAGCUGUGGACUAAUGACUGGUAUACCAAGCAGAUAAGCUGUGGACAUUUUUCAGUGUUAACAUAAUGACUUUCAUCAAAGGAGGAAGAAGUCUACUUAUUUUUCAUUUUGUUAAGGUGAGUUUGGAAGGCUUCGAUUCUAUAAAUCCUGAGAUCUAUGAUGUCUGUAAACCUAGCAUAUAAAAAUAGUGGCUUCAAAAAUAAAAGAGGUGAUAUUUCUGUUAGAAGAGAUUACUUUAUUUGACCUCCAACUCAUGAUUUUUAAGAAGUAUUUCAGACAAGUUCAGACAUCAGAUGUUUGCAGCAGGGUGUAACCGAAUGAUCAUUCUGGCUUGACAAGAUUAAUGUGAAAGCAACCUUUUUCCCUAAUUCACUUUCUUUUUUGCUGGUUGAGGUUAGCUAAAGUAUUUGCCAGACUGGGACAGAGCUUUGUCAUUAUCCUCCUCUUUCAGUAAUGAUAGACUUACUGAGUUGCUAAAGGAAAGCGAUUUACAAACCACCUUACAAAGAGAAACAUGACGCAAAGUAAGACAUGCCGUAGAUUAUAAUACCGUAUGACUGAUUUUAGUCUGAUAGAGGUGUUAGGCUAAUUAAGAAAGAAUUAAACUACACAUGACAGAUAUCAGUCGCAUUGCUUAAUGCGCAUUGCGCUGGAGGGUACAUGGAACCACAGGGGUGAUGAAAGCACUGCAAGAACAAAAACACAAGGAAAAUAAAAUACAAUUGCUGUGUGUAAGGAUAGUGGGUUUUGCAGGUAAAUACGGGAUUGUUGUUUGACAAGGUGUUUUUUCCAUGGCAUAAUUUAGCCAUUAAUAAAUCUUCUAUGCAGAAAACAUGUUAAGCUAUUAGAAACAGCUUGGGGGGGCUUCAGAGCACAGAAUCACCCUUGAACAGUUAUUUAUAUGAGAAAUAUUGCAUUAUUUUCUUAGUGUAAAAUAAUGACUUUUUCUCUUGUGCAAAACAUUCUUAUGUCAUCUGAACUUAAAAUCAAUAAAAUUUUCCAAGCUAAGAAGGUUGUGUUCAUAUCAGAAGCUUGUCUCAUUAAUUAGUUAAUACAAAGUAAAAACCCAUUUCGUAUUAAUAUGAGAAAGUAUUCAGAAAAUAUUUUCCAUGUAAAACAGAGAUUUUUUUUUUCCUCGGUCAUUCACUCUUAAUUUCUUAUGGUGAGUUCCUUUCCAAAAGAUUUUUUGGAGCUCUGAUUUAAGGUGAAAUCAGGCUGUUGUUUCCUAAAAAUAGAUUUAUAAGUAUGGAAAUAUAGAGAAGUUGUCUUUAGGCAUAGAAAUUUUUGGUCCUUCUUUGUAUUUAUGUAUCAUUUUCAUUUCUUCAUGCUUAUGUUGCAUAAAUCUGUUAGACCACAGAAUUAUACAUGUCCAUUCCUUACCAUCAGUGAGGUGAAUCUGUCUUAAGAAGAGAACAGGGUUAAGGUUCGUUUUUAGAUAGAGAGGUGAUGGUAGAACAUGUGGUAAAACUCCAAGGAGCAAUAAUACUUGUUCUAUUGUAUGUCCAGCGGAAGGAUUUCACAAAUUGCAAGGAGAAAUGUACUGAUUCAAGAUCAAAACUGCAGAAGGUUCAGCUCUGAGAAGUAGAGGCUGUGCAUCAGCACUGAUGCUCUCAUGCCAUGCAGGCAGGUGGGACAGCCCCUCUCUCUGAGCUUUGCCACAGUGCUGUCUUCUCUUUCCCUUCAGUCUGCCAGAAGUGGGAGCAGUUUAAAAUCAUGGAGUCCACAACACAAGGCUUUGGGCCUUUUGUUUCCUUUUUUUUUUUUUUCUUUGAAUUGGUUUAAUACUUAGAACAAUUCUAUGGCUCAUGAGGAUUUUCCUGUCUUUCAAGUAACUCCUUAGAAUCAGGUGUUUCAGGGCAUAUCUUAACUUGUGUAGAUGACAGCGGAGUGCUAUAUACAAUCAGUUAUUGAUUUGUGGAUUAACUUGGAGAGAAGGCAUGUAACAUAUAUGUGACUCUUGGUACAAUACAGCAGGUCACAAAUAAACUCCUCCAUCCACUGCACAUGCAUUUCCUCCUCCUUCACCCACAGUACAGCAGGGAGGGCUGUUCAGAUGACUGUGUGGGAUCUUCACAGAGAAAGGAGACACAUUUGGGGCUGGGACUGGACUGAACUUGGGACAGUAAUGCAGGAGCAGCACUGCAGCUCAUCAAAGUUUCUGAUAUCACAAGUUAUUUUAACUAUUGAAGAAGCAAGAAAUGAAAAAGCAAUUCCUCCCUUACAAACACUCUCUGUAAGUACAUAAAAUAACUGCAAAAUGGUGGAGUUGAAAGGAAGAUAAGGAUGUUCAUACUCUGUGCUGGGACUGGAUGUAGGUUCCUCCCUUUCAGGUGUGUGGUCUAAGCUUCAGGUGAUGGGUGUGGUUCCCAGGUUUUUGAAGUUUUACUUUUUCUUCUUUUUUUCAUCUUCCGCCGAGCAUAUCACUCUGCUUUCUCAUGAACAGAGUAAUUAGCUGAGCAAUAAGCAGAUCUCCCAGCAGAGCUGUUUUCAUUCUGCCGCCAUACUAUGUAUUUACCAUGGGUUACCAUGCUUUCCUUUGCUUUACAAGUGUUCCCCUCUUUCUGAGCUUCAGCUGAACAUUCUGCUCAUUUUAAAAACACUGUUGAAAACCAGUCAGAAGAGAAAACAAUCCUUACAAUUCAUUUGCACAUUCACCUCCAAAUUGGAAACUGCUGUUUUGUUUUUCUAAUCCUGCUAGUUUAUUUCCAGGUUUGUUGAGUCUUUGAAGGCUUUAUGUCACUUCCAGAGUCCUGAGAAGUUGUUUACUAUAAGUAAGAACAUACUGAGUGCCUUUUGGUGUGAGUAUCUUGUUUCCAAGCCCUUUUAACAAAUUAAGAAAAAAAGAAUAUUCCAAACCAUUCUGCCUUCAGCAGCAGCACAAUCAAAACAAAACAAAACAAAAAACAGGUGUUCAAACAAAAGGAAAAUAACUAAACCACAUAUUGCUUUAAAGUGUAUAAUGUUAGUAGAAAAUGUACUUCUCAAGAAGGAUGUUUGAUUACUCUGCACAUGAGCACUGAAUCCACCUUCCCUUCUUAUCGUCCAGUAAAGAAAUACAGUAUUCAUUUGAAUUUCAUUCUUGCACAUAGGUGCAAGUUUUAUCAGGAUAACAUAUGUAUGUUUUUGUAUGCUGAGACAUUGUUUUGCCUCUGCCUCAGCCUGUCCAAGGUGUAUUAAUAUUGACUGAUUAAUGUAUAUCCCAUGGUGUAUUAUUGCUUAUUUAAAGCAUAAUGCUGCAUGACCUUUUUUUUUUUUCUUUUUUUUUUUUUCUCCUGUUAAUUAUAUUUUUCCCUUGUAGGAAAGCAAGUUUACUCAUUCUGAAUCAUGCCAAACCGCAUAAUCUGGAAAGGAAUAUUGUGGCUCUACUUGGAAAGUACUAAUUGGGUUUCAGCCAUCACUGGGAAAGUUGUAUAGCCUUUUAUUAUUUUAACUGGCCAAAUGCCCCUUGUUCCCACAUUAACAGCCUCCCUAUGACGCCUGUAACUUUGAUAUUAUUUUCACUUUUACGCUAAAUUUCACCAGAUGAAAGGCACAAACGCUCCAAUUUCAAAAUAAAAUAAAAUAAAAAAAUAGCAUGUUUUGUUAAUCCUGUAUUUCAGAGGGAAAGUCUGUGGAAAUGAUAACCUACGUCUACUGGCCAAAGUUUUGUUCAGUGAACCCAUCCUGCCAGCUGUUCUCAUUGGCAAGAGGAAAGAUAAUAUUUUGAUAUUUUUAAUUUCCUCAUUUUAGAGCAGAACUUUUGCUUGUGUCAUCAUUUAAAUCAUGUGUGUUAACAUCAGUCUGGCAGACAAUGCAGCCUUUAUAAAGAGCUGGGUUUGGAAGAUAUCACUGUGAUGUUGCAAUAAGGUUGUUCUAGAGCAUUAAACACAACUUAAGUCACUUACAGACAAGGAAUUGUUGCGGGCUCUCUGGUUUGUACUACUGAAGUACUGCUUUGAAUGUUCUGAGGAGGACACCAAAGCAGAUAUGUAGGAGCAUUUUAGUCAGAUAUAACUGGCCACUGAAGACACAAAAUAUCUCAAAACACUGGUCUCUCACUUGUGUUCAUGUUGUCCUCAUCUCACAAGGCAAAUUGAGAAAGGAUCACCAAAGAGCACCUAAGGUCCACUCCUUGGUGAGUGACAAGGGAUGGCCUCAGGUAGGCAAAAGGAACACUGAUAUUUCUGAGACAAAAAACAGUCACCUAAAGCUUGAAGCUUAACCAACAUACUUCCUAUCCAAAAUGCCCUAUCAUAUCCAAAAUGCAGACAGAACAUGUUCUCCCUUCAUCUUGGGUUCUGGCUGCAAGCUCUAAUUUCUACUAAAUAUUGAAGCCCACACCUUAGCAAAGGCUUAUUUCAGCAUAUCAUAGAAUCAAUUGUUUUGAGUUGGAAAGGAUCUUUAAAUGCCACCUGGUCCAAUUCCCCUACAAUGAACAGGGACAUCUAUGGCUAGAUCAGGUUGCUCAGAGCCCCAUCCAGCCUGAUCUUGAAUGUCUUCAAGGAUGAGGCUUCCACCACAUCUCUAGGCAACCUGGCAAUCUGUUCCAGUGUUCCAGUACCCUUCCCAUAAAAAACUUUUUCCUCAUAUCCAGUCUAAAUCUCCCCUUUUUCAGUUUGAAACCGUUCCCCUUGUCCUGUCACAGCAGACCCUGUUAAGAGUCUGUCCCCUUCUUUAUUAUAGUCCCUCAUGAGAAACUAAAAGGAUGUUAAAAGAAGAUUUCAUUCAUUUGUGCCUUACAGUAAUUGUAUAAUUACUGUCUUAAAUGCUCUGAGGUGGAUGGUGUUUAUGACCAUUCCAGUGUGUUUCAUAGGGGAACAGCAUAACCUUCCACUGUCCUGAAAUAGAACUGGGCCCUUCCAUUUAUUAAAGUUGUCUUGGGCAAGCCAGCAAAGUCUGUAAUGGCUCUCUUAUAUCACCCUGUGUGCACUUUGUAAUGCGGGGCACAUUUCAAGGAAAAUGGAGAUAGUUCCUACAGUUUGCCUACUUAUUGCUGUUGAAAUAUAUUAUUGCAAAAACUGAAAAUAAAAAGAUUUUGCAUUUUGUUAGCAAAGCUCAGCCCUGCAACCAUACUAAUAAUACCACAGUUAUACCACAGUUACAACAAGGAUGCAAGUUUGCAUUUAAAUAUAUUUCUCCAGCUUUUGCAGUGUGUGAAUUCAGGAAAAAAAAAAAAAAAUCAAGUUUUAAUUUCCUCUAGGAACGUAUAAUAAUUUACUGCCUUUUUCUGGCUGUGCUGCCAUUCAGCAAGAUCUAGAUAUGUUGGAGAGUUGAAUGGAGAGGUACCUUUAUGAGCUUCACAAGUCCAGCAGAGGGCCACAAAGAUAGCAUCUCCCUUACAAGAAAAGGCUGAGAGACCUUGGGCUGUUCAGCCUGGAAAAGAGACUGAGAGGGUAUCUUAUCAAUGCUUAUAAAGUGCCGGAAGCAAGUGGAAGCCCAGAGACAACAGGUACAAACUGAAACCCAGGAAGUACCUUAUGAACAUGAGAAAAGACUUCUUUACUUUGAGGGUUACAGAGCACUGGAACAGAAUGCCCAGACAGGUUGUGACUUCUCCUCUGGAGAUAUGCAAAACUCACCUUGAUGCUUUCCUGUGCAAUCUACUGUAGGGAAACUGCCUUAAUAGGGGGUUGGACUAGAUGAUCUUCAGAGGUCCUUUCCAACCCCUACAAUUUUAUGGUUCUGUGAUUCUGUGAUUUUCUCCUUCUGGUUAGCACUCAUUGCUGCAAAUGCAGUUACAAGUCUGUAUCUUAAGUUUUUCUUGCCUACUGAACUGACAGAGCCUUUCAGAGUACUCUCAGACAAGGUCAGUCCAUUAAUCAAGAAUGAAAGUACAAGGGAAAAAUGGCAAAUUCAUUUGGUAGCACUCUUAACAAGUUAUUUUCCCGAAUUUGGAGUUUGUGUGCCCCAUGCAACGGCUUUCUCAGUUAUUCUACAUGUACUGCAGUUUCACAAAGCUGCUGCAGAUGGACCUUGUCCAGAAGCUUGUUUAGAGUGAAACUGUAAAUUCCAGCCUCCUUGGAAAGCUAGCACUGUUGCAUUAGUGCUCCAAAAUACUGCAGGAGGUGGCUGAGAGCCUUGCACACUGUGAUCCCAUGCAGCAGGGCAGCUGGGAGGGUACUGUCAGGUACUGAUUGCACUCUGUGGGAUAAGCCAUGGAUGCCCACCAGCUGCUAGCAGCAAGGAAGCACUUGAACAUUGACCUCUUAUCUUAGAAAAGGCAAAUAUUAAUUGCAACAACUGAACAAAUAACAAAGGUAAGGUGUUAAAAAAAAUAGUAAUAUCUUCCAUCUUUUAACUUUGUUCAGGUAACUUGGAAAUUGUAGAGGCAAGUAUAUCAUUUUAGAUGAAAGGAAGAAAAUUUAGGAAACAAAACAUCCACAGCCAUAUUUCUUGAAAACAAUCAGAAAAGACAUCUGGCAUUAUUUAAGUCUUUCUAUAUUAACAGCUAAAUUUACAGUAAAUUGCAUACGUGAGCAAAACAAAAAAGAAAUCCACUAUGGUAGUGGAAGGAAAGAUAAAAGCUUUCUAAAAUCAGGAGUAGUAAAGACAGGUCACAGAGGGAACGGAAGUUUUUGUAUCACAAUAGACAGUAAACAAGGAGGCAUAAAAUAAUUGGUUAAUUCAAAACAAAUAAAACCAGAAGCGUUGCCUCAUGCAGCAGUUAGGCAACUUUGAAUUUGCUUGUCACAAGAUGUUGAGGUUUACAGAAGCUGACAUGAAUUAAAAAUCUCUUGGACGAACUCAUCCACCAGGACCUAUUAAAUGCAAAGAGGCAGCCUCAGACUUAGGAUAUUGUAUCACUGGAAGCUGGGAAGAUAAUGUGGGUAGCUAUCACUGCAAGCUUAUCAUUUUAUUAUAAUCUUCAGUAAUCGUCCACUUUUCACUAUUUGUCCUCAUUUUUGGAGCCAAGAUACUGGGUUAGAUAGGUCUUUUUCAGUCUGAGCUGGGAUGGCCCUUCUUGCAGCCUGAUUUUAAAUAAUUCCUGCAGUUUGUAGAGAAUCUUCUAAGGAUCAAUCUGAACAAUAUGAGUCAGAUAAAGGACACCGAACAGAACUAAGACUAAAAAUGUCAGGAGCAGAUAACUAAGAGAGAAGACUCUGCAAGUAAUAUAAAGAGAAGAUAAAGUAGGAUGAAAUUUUCAUCUAGCCUUUAACUCUUCAAGAAAAAAAGUGCCACCACACAUGAUAUGAUGGAAAAUUACUCAUCUCUGUAAAAGAAAAAGAAUACUUCUAUCCUUCCAGUGGGUGAAAUUACAAGAAAAUUGAAAUUUGUCCUUAAACAGAAAGAAUUGUAAUUGUCAAAUCACAUAUAUAUCAAGCUCUGCAAGUGGAUGAAUUCAUAGUAAAUGAUGAGUUAAUGAGCAUAUGAAAGUGUAAAAAUCAUAGAACUUCCAGCUUAUUAAAAAAAGAAAAAAACAACCUACUUGAAUUAAUUCUGUAGUUACAUAUGCCCUAUAAAAAGAUAUUGAUCAAGUCAGUCCUCUGUCAUGAAAAAUGACUGAAUGUAAAAUAUUCUUUGAUUCUUCUUAUAUAGGUGAAAUCCUCAUAUUGUAUGGAUUGCUCAGACUUCACCAAAUUCCAUAGAACUACGACAAGUAACAGCAGUUGAUGAUCUACCCAACAUGUGUACCAUGUUGGCCAACACAGCAAAAAUGUAAAUUCUGCCUUGAGGAAAUCACCUUUUUCAAUGAGCUCAUGGAUUGGAUAGCAGUACACGCCCUUUGUCUUUCUUGGGCCUGGGGCAACCCAAAGCCUCUCUGAAUCUGAGUCAGGCAAAGAGGAGUUGUCCCACUGCUGGCACCUGCAAGUGAACGUUGUAAAGUUCAGUUGUCAACUCUUUCUUUAAUGAAAUUCUGAAAGCGUUAUUUACAGUUAAACCCAGUAUUUUCUAAAUUGAGUGUCACCUCUAAUUCUCUAAGGUGACAACAAAGAUAUGAGUGAGCUGCUGUCUGGUGACUUUCCUUUUCCAGGGCCUUCAGAUGUUCUUCUACCUGACAAACAGCUCCAGUGACAUGAUGUUUUCAGGAGGUUCAUCAUUGGCUUCAGUGUACCCAGAUCUCAGAUUCAACUUCUGCUGUCAGAAAUUCUCACAGCGCUCUUUUCCAAGAAGGACAGAAAUCUUCUGUUUCCUUUUUCCCAUAUUCUCAACAAAACAUCCCUAAUCACACCUUCUUUUUCUACAUAUUUUCCCAGUAGAAGCUUGAGACUUGAUAUCUCACCUCCAACUGUCCGCUUUCAGUCACUACAACUUCUAGGUCAUGUAACUAAAUUAAAAAAAUAAACUUAUAAUGAAUAAGAAAAGAUUUCUUUGAAAUAAAAUGUAGUAACAUACAAAUAAUUUUUUGCAUUUUCAACCACUGAAGCAGAACAGUAGUCAUUUAGUGUAUAUCAUAACUUGAGGUAAACCAGUAUUUUUUCAGGACAUAGAAUGAGAGAGAACUUUUCUGUCGCUCCCUAAUGAACUGAAGUCAACAUGCUAGUUUUCUUUCUGUGUUAUCUUGAAAUAAAACAACUGCAUAAUAACAGAAGGUUUAUUUUCAUUAUCAUAUGAAAGAGAGACACAAACAUGUAAAAUUUUUCCAUUUUUAAAAAGGAUUAAUUUGUAAAUAUCAAUCUAUAACAUAUAAAAUAAAUAACCCUGCUUGAAAGAAUAGAAAAAGUUUUGUAUUUGUUUAGUCAUUGAGUAGAGAAUCAUGAACAUUUGCAUAAACAGUAGAUUCAGAUUAUCCUUCACCAUUAUUCUUUACUUGCUGGAAUGGAUACCUGGUAAUAAUCAAUCAUACCAGAACUAUAGCUGAUAAUGGAUGAUUAAGGCUAGGGAACAGAUGUAAAGGGAAAGUAGAACUUUUUUUUUUUUUUUCCUGAGGUUCUUACGUGGUUCUGCUUUAUUCCCUUCUACCAAGCUCAACCAAGUUCUGUGUAACAUAAGGGACUAAAUUAGGACUGGAUUUGGACUGUUUCCCAUCUUGUGAAAACAUCCCUUUCUUGAACUGAGAGAAAAAAGAUAUUACAAAUUAAGACCUUGAUAAAGUUUUGGAACUAAAAAUAAUGAUAAUGUCAAAAGAGUCAAUGGCAAUAUUUCUCUUAGGUUAUCUAAGAAUAUUUGGAUUGUACUAGAACUAGUGUAUAUUUUGUAACUAAAAGCCAUUUUUGAGAGAACAAAACCUUUGAAGUGUUAAAAAUGUGUUUUUAUCAAAUUCAGUUUUUCAGUGUUUUGAAAUCUUAUUUGAUCCACUUCCUACCAUGUUUUGGCUUAGACAAAUAGGUGUGUUUUUGGAUGAAAAUCAUUUCAUCUAAAAGUUCCAAGCUACUUUUGCUGUUCACAAUAAACCAUAGAAAUAUCACAGGAAACUUCUGGUAUAUACAGCGUCUUAAUCAGCUGGAAUUUGAAUAAUAUGCAGACACAUAUCUAACUCAUUCCCAAAUGACUAGGAAAUCUGUGUCACAUAUGCUUUUCAAAAAGGGAGUUCUCAAAAAAUUUAAUUAAACAAGAGAAUGAAACACAGCUUGUUCAGUUUGAGGUUGUUCUUUUUUUCUUUCUUUCUUUUCUUUCUUUUUUUUUUCUUUCUUUCUUUUUUUUUUUUUUUUUUUGGUAUUUAUUUAAAAUCAUCAUUCCAAUCACUCCAUUUUGUUUCCCAAUGUAUAUAUCUGUUUAAACCCUAUAAGUUCCUUAAAUAAAUUUGAGUUUUCUUAUGUUGGCAUCCCAAGAAUUCAGAUCACUGAGAAAUCUACCUGAGAACUCAAAAGAUGAUUAAGACCAUAGUGGGCAAACACACGUGCUUGACUACACAGGUAUUAGCAUGCAGUCAUCUACAGCACAAAUGUAUGCUUCUAUACCAGUUUCAGGCUCCUAGUUUUCUUUUUUGACCCAGUGGAAGAGCAGAGCUUUACAAAGCAAAUCCUGAAUUUUCACAGGUAAUUUUUCACAGGCCUCCAGGCCUCUUAUAAAAAGCUUAUAGGUUCCCCGUGGGCUCCUUGUGGAAAGCAACAGCAAGCACCAAUGAGCCAAAAUUAUUCCCACCAUUGAAACUCUUUAUAGUGCACAAAGACUAUAAGGUACCUUUGUGCCACAUCUCUUUCAAAUCCAAUUUCUGUUUAAAAAUACAAGCCUGCUUUUGUAAGUGGUUUGUCCAAGGAACAGUGGGAAAUCUUUGCAUUAUCACUAACUGAUUGAUUAUAAAGUCUGAUAGUCCUGUGUUUUCUGAUUCUAAUUAAAGGGAUAUUAUUCAAAUAGAUUACAAAACUUUCCUCCUGGUCAAUAAAGAAUUUUGCUUGUGGCUCUAGACAGAAACAUUAAUGCAUUUCUUGUGCAUAACAAAGUGCUCAUGGCACCAGCAGAGACUUUGACUUCAUACAUAAACACUAUUAACACUUCUUAGUUGCCUUUUAAGGUGGUAGAGCAUGAGGGGCUCUGCCAGAGAGGCUUUAUAAGCUUUAUCAAACCCUACAGUGGCAGUUCAGGGGAUUACCAGCCACAGCUGUCUGCUUUCUGAAGGCAGAAUGCCAGCCCUCAGCUGCUCACUUUGCUGUCCUGACUGUACUGCAGGUGUGAAUACAUUUUGGUCUCCUUAUGAUAUCUGCACACAAAAAAACAAGAGGAAAAAUCAGUGCAUGGAAAAGACAGUCUCCCUCUUCUUGAUCUCUCAGGGUACAGACAGUUACAGUCUAACAAAUCUAUUGGCAAUCAUCUCUGUAUUGACAGAGUUCAGGCUAAGAAUAACUGGAACUUUCUUUGGUUGUUUUUUGUUGUUGUUGUUGUUGUUUGUUUGUUUUUGUUUUUUUUCUUUUUCUUCUUUUCCUUUUUGAGAGGGUGGGGAAUAUCUGAUCCAGUUGUCACACAGACCCAUAAACAAUGUUACAAGGUCAACUGAAAGACAGCAUAGGCUGGGAAUGAGCAGCUGGGGACUGUUCGGAUAGCACUGUCAGUGAAUGGCACUGCUUUCCUGCACUUGCAUUCAAUCUGAGUUCGAGCAUUCAGAUAAUCAUCUAUGACAUCUGAGAUACAGGAGCAGUGCCCAGCAGGUGGGCCAGUACCUGCUUAAAUCUAGCCCAAGUCACUGGAAAGGACAUCUGUCUCUGCUCUCAGAUCUGAUGCUUCAGUGGCCCCACUGCAGCUGAGCAGUAAGAACUCUGCCGUGCAUUUAUGAACUGAUAUUUUUAAGAAACUCUUACUGUGAGAUGUAUUUUGAAUAAGUUUUAACUCAUUCAAAAAUGGCCAAAAAAAAAAAAAAUCCUGCUGUCAGAUGUGCCAAAUCAUUGCAACACAUGGAGGUACUAGAGCUUCUCAACAAAAAACAGUUGCAGAAAUAUUUUUAAGAUUCCUAAAAGAGCAACAUUUUCUCUUAGCCUUUGUUCAGCAAAAUCAUUUUAUCUGAAGCUUUUCACUCUGGGUCAUGUGCUGCUUUGGGAAAGGAAAGUCUGAAAAUGUUACAGGCACCUGAAAUUUCUGAAGAAUUCUUUUCUGAAGAAAAAAUCUGGGGCACCUGUGCCUAUGUUAUCUUCUAGUCUAAAAAAAACCUUGUCUCUCCUUUCUUCUUCUCUUGCAUCCAACCCCAGACAGUCAUGUUUCUAAGUAGACACUGGGGCUAGCAUACAAUACUAUAAGCAUAUCAAAAUGACUAAUAUGAAAGGGCUGAGCAAAAGGCCUUUAAAAAUAAACCAAAGAUAAAUCAUUAUUUAAGAAUUACUGUUUUGUUUGCUUGUCAUUAGACAUCUGUUCAUAGACACUGCAAAUGUUCCACUGUUUGUCUGGGUUUAAUCGUAACAACUUCGCAGAGGUGCCUUCUUCUUCCUCAUUGUUUUCACUUGGUUUCUAAGGCAAACAAUACCUAUUUUUUUUUCCAGGCCUUUUAAUUAUUUAAAGUUGCUAAAAUGCUAGAACUCAAUAAUUGCAUAGGAUGGAAAUUUAAAUCCAAACCUCAGAAUGUACCAAGUGUGUACAGUACCAGACCUUGUCUUGACCCCUGCCGCUGGUAGCCCCAGGACCUCCCUGCAGUGACUAGGUAUAAUUCAGGUCAGAACUUGACCCAAAAUAUGUAAAGCUAGCCCUCCCCUUCCUCCCUUCUCCCAGUCAGCUGCUCCCAUUUCCAGACCACAAAUAGUGUACUGAAUCCAAAUUGUUUACUUUGCUGGGAAUGCCAUCUGUGUGUUGGCAGCUGGGGUGGGAGGGAAGGCACACACACUGAACAACAGCGAUAAAUACAGACAGUGGACUAAAUUAGGAGUUCUGCUGCUUUCCAGUGCUCUGCAUCCUUGCGUGCUUCCAUUAAGUGGAUACAGUUCUUCUUAAACAGAUACUGAACAUCCAGAUUAUUCAGCAAGAGAUCAAAUUCAGAACAUUUGAAGAGAUAUAGAAAUAAGCCAAUCUGGGUAAAUACUAAGACUACUGAAAAGGUUUAUGUCAUUUAUGGCUAAAUUCACUUAACAUCUUACAGUACACUGGAACCAGCAAGGGGAAAUAAAAACAACAGUAAAUACUAUCAAAAUGAGUACGUUGUAAGUCAUCCAAAAUGAAAAAUCAGAGAAGAUCUGGUGAGAAAGUUUCUCAUAGACCAAAGAUAAAGUCAAUAACCACUUAAUUGGCAACUGAUUCUGAAUUCUGAAGAGGAAUUGCUGGCAUAACAUCUAAAUUUCCCAUUUAAAAGGUCUUACAUUUGAACAAUUCACUAUAUUACAGAAAGGAUAAUUCAGUAGUUAAAAGCUCAUCUUAAAGUAUAUGUGUAUACAAAGUAUAUCUGUAAAUGUGAUGGCAGGGGAAAAUUUAAAGAUUAAAAUUUUGCUCAUAUUUCUUCACUAACAGCUUGACAACAGCAACAUGUCUACACAGAAUCCUAGAAUGCCUGAGGUGGGAAAGGACCCUUGAAAAUAGUCAAGUCAUACUACUCUGCUCAAAGUAGGGUCCAUGAGGGUUGCUCAGCACCAUGCCCAGCUGGGUUUUGAAUACCUCCAAAGACACAGAAGCCACAGCCACUCUGUUGUCUUACUCUUGGAAUUGUCUAAAAUACAUGAAACUUAAGAACAAUCAAUAACAAGAAGUGAGCUCAGUCCUUCAGCAAAUCUACAGCUGCAGUCCUGAAGAAAUUAAAUGACAAAGAAAUGGUUUAACACCCCUUAAUUUAUGAAAGUUGGAUUUACGUCACUAACUUGAUUUACCUUAGCUUACUUUGUGUAAUGCAAAAAUGACAGCUCUUUUGUGUAAGGUUUACCCAUCCUGAAGAGAGUACAUGGAGGCAAGAAGUUAACUUUCAUCAGUUUGAUAGAGAGGUCCUCAUGUUACCAGGGGGGCUGGCUGGUGGACACUCCCCCAAGUCCUCAUUACUGGUGGCGGCUGGCUGAUAGAAUGUCUACACUGGGAUUACCUCCAACAGGUUCUGGUGGUGACUCGCUGACAAGAAUUCCACACAACCCACUGGUAGCAUGGCCAUACAUAUAAAUGCAGGAGACAAUAAAGUAUGGUGUAUUAGGAUAAGCAAAGUCAUGGGCAGAAAGCAAGGAUACUUAGUUACUACAGAGAAGUAUUUCUCAAGGGAGUUUCUUCUAGCUGCAUCCAGAAUCUAGAGGCAGUUCACUUGUGUUCCCAAGCCAGCAAGAGCUCUUUCUCAUGGGCUAGUCGCCUGUUCAGGCCGUAUUCAUCUGUAUUUUUCCACAAACUUGGCUACUCUUAUUUAGAAUUGACUGGAAACAGGUUUCCUACUUCAGUUUUCCAACAGCAAGACAUAAAGAAUAAGGAAGGACACGUCCUAUUGGUAAGCAUUUUAACAAUUUGGCUGACAUUGGUCCACUAGAAAAGGCUAUGUAAUCAAAAAUGUACAAUCGCAUUCACAUCAGCUAUAAUAGGCUUGUCACUGUAUCUGCUCUUUGGAUUUCCUAAAAUGUGCUGCACUAAUGUUUGACUGUAAUGUAAGGUAAGAUUUUCUCUGCUGUGACAAUGCAUAGGCUUGAAGAUCUUAUAUUUUCAUGUAAGAGUUAAAUCUUUCAAAACUGAUACCCCAGAUCCAGAGGUAUUAGGAAAGUGAGGAAGAAAUGUCUUGGUUCAGAAAUGGGUUCCUAAUGCCUAUAGAGAUAGCUGAUAGUUGUUCACAAAUGAUCAAAUCAUAAAUGUUGGUUAGUUUAAAAACUCUCUAAAGUGUUAGAGUAAUUUUUUAGUAUUUUUAUUUGAAAUACAGGCCACAAAUAGAUUUCCGUAUAUUUUAGAGGCUGAGACUAUCCCAAAUAUACGAUAUAUGGGAGAUACUCUAAAGUGAUUCACCUAAAUACCGUGGGCCAAGUUUCUGGUCUUAAUGGAGAACUUCUCUUUGUUCUCUGCAGCUUACCUUGGUAAUUUCUUCCAAUUUUAUUAAUAUCUUCUUAGAAUUAUUCCUUAAGGAAGAACCUUGAACUGCAGAUCACCUGCAAUGAACAAAAUUCUUUACCAGCCACAGUGAGAUUCACAAAACAGCAAAAACAGCACAGAACAGCAUAAGCAGAUUAUUCUGAUACAUUAGAAAUAUUGAAUUUCAUUGCUUUGUAUAUAUUUUAACAGAAAAUUUUAAAGUCCUGAGUUAGCACCUGAAUUCCAUUUGAAUAACUUUGCCUCAAAAACCUCAUGUUAUUACCUUGAGACUUAAGACCACCAUCACCACUGAAAUUUUUGAAUUAUUCAGAAAAAUUGAUUGGGUUUUGGUCUGUUUAAAGUCACUGAAGAAAAUGGGAAAGAAAAACAGGUACUUAUACAAAUUCUACAAUCACCUCAAUUUUGUAAUUCCAAAUUUGCAGCACAAGAUCUACAUGACAAAGCAGGAACACUACCUUAAAGCCUUGUUUUCUUGUUUUCCCUGUUCCUUGUUUUCUUUGGCACAAAAGCUUUGUUCAUCAGUAGUCAUACACUUUCAUAUGUACUGGUGUUUGUAGACUUUUAAAAAAUAAGUACUAUUCCUCAGUUUUCUUGUUAAAUAAAUAUUUUCCCAUUCUAAAAUGAAGCAAGGAUUGAAUUGGCUAGCUAGUUUAAGAAGUGAGCAGAUUUGGUAACAAAGCAAGUCACUGAAAUGGCCACAGAGAUUUUCAUGGUGGUCUUAAUGGACUUUGAACAUCUCUCCUGGAAGAACCCCUUUUUCAUGGUCCAGUUUCUGUCUCAGUCAUCAAAAGUUACUUCUAAUUAAAAUACUGUAUCUAGUGGUUUACCAGGAGAAUAAAACAGAAAAUUCCAAUUUUUGUUCCGAAGAACAAAUGUGUGUUUGACAUUUUUGGAGUAACAUUAUAGCACUGCUUCUUAUGUAAGUUUUCCUCCUUCACACAAUUUUCUCUUCUGAAGGAAAAUGAAGCAUUUGUUUUUUGUUGUAAAAAGAGAUUCUUGAAAGAGUUAACAAAAAACAAAAGCUUUUCUUGCAAUUUGAAAGAUCUUGGUGACAUGUCAUUUUUCCAGAAAAAAAGUCUGCAAUAGCUCAGGAUUUCCAUGAGUAGUCUGGAUUUCGUGGGAGGAAAGAUGAUGGCAGGAAGUAACUGAGUACAUCUACAGCUGAUUGUCUCAACCUUCCUGGCUCUGAACUAUGUGUGCUAAGUGCUGCCCUAUGUGCAUUUUCAUACAAAGCAGUUUCUUGAAUUAAUAGAAUACAGCAGAAAGGGAUUUGAACUUCCACUCAUCCUGCUACCACUGAUGUGCACCGUAAUUGCCAGGCACAGACAACACAGUCUACUUGUCUCUAUUUUCUUCCUUCGUGAGUCAGAGAGAAUACAAUGAGCGAGCAGUAGUUAGAAUUGGUCAGAUUAGUAAAUGAAUAAGCUAUUUAGUGUAAUGAAUAAAGCAUUAUUCAAAGUCUGCUUUUUAAAUACCCUUUUCCUCAGCUCAGUGAGCCUUGAAAAAAGGCAUAUCAGAAACUAGACAUUACUAGACAUUACUUCCAAGCUGAAUUUACCCCUUUACAAGGGGUCACCGUUUACAGAAAAAGCAGAUCAAUACAUUGAAAAAGGUAACAGUAUGAAUGACUGCAAGAAAAGUAGAGAAACAAAAUCUGUGGUUCACAUGUGUUGCUCUGUUGUGCUCAUGGGUGAGCAUUCACAUGAGCAGAGAUGCCUUUAUUUUGCCCACUAAAAUUCUCCUUAUGUUUUCUUUCCAG
ensembl:lncRNA